rnacentral:rRNA from 1 species
GAUGAACGCUAGCGGAAGGCUUAACACAUGCAAGUCGAGGGGCAGCACGAGAUAGCAAUAUUUUGGUGGCGACCGGCGCACGGGUGAGUAACACGUAUGCAACCUACCCUGUACAGGGGGAUAACCCGGAGAAAUUCGGACUAAUAUCCCAUAAUGAUAUUUGGAGGCAUCUUUAAAUAUUUAAAGCUCAGGCGGUACGGGCUGGGCAUGCGGAACAUUAGCUAGUUGGCAGGGUAACGGCCUACCAAGGCUGCGAUGUUUAGGGGACCUGAGAGGGUGAUCCCCCACACUGGUACUGAGAUACGGACCAGACUCCUACGGGAGGCAGCAGUGAGGAAUAUUGGUCAAUGGGCGCAAGCCUGAACCAGCCAUCCCGCGUGAAGGAAGAAGGCGCUAUGCGUUGUAAACUUCUUUUCCAGGGGGUGAAUUUUCCGGUCGUGACCGGGAUUGACGGUACCCUGGGAAUAAGCAUCGGCUAACUCCGUGCCAGCCGCCGCAGUAACAC